rnacentral:rRNA from 1 species
AUACCGGCUGCUCGAGUGAUGGCCACUAUUACUGGGUUUAAAGCGUCCGUAGCUUGACUGUUAGGUCUCUUGGGAAAUCUUUUGGCUUAACCAAAAGGCGUCUAAGAGAUACCGGCAUUCUUGGAACUGGGAGAGGUAAGCCGUACUUCGGGGGUAGGAGUGAAAUCUUGUAAUCCUCGAGGGACGACCUAUGGCGAAGGCAGCUUACCAGAACAGCGUCGACAGUGAGGGACGAAAGCUGGGGGAGCAAACGGGAUUAGAUACCCCGGUAGUCCCAGCCGUAAACAAUGUGCGUUAGGUGUGUCGGUUACCACGCGUAACUGAUGCGCCGAAGAGAAAUCGUGAAACGCACCACCUGGGAAGUACGGUCGCAAGGCUGAAACUCAAAGGAAUUGGCGGGG